rnacentral:rRNA from 1 species
CAGCCGCCGCGGUAAUACGUAGGGUGCAAGCGUUAAUCGUAAUUACUGGGCGUAAAGCGUGCGCAGGCGGUUAUAUAAGACAGAUGUGAAAUCCCCGGGCUCAACCUGGGAACUGCAUUUGUGACUGUAUAGCUAGAGUACGGCAGAGGGGGAUGGAAUUCCGCGUGUAGCAGUGAAAUGCGUAGAUAUGCGGAGGAACACCGAUGGCGAAGGCAAUCCCCUGGGCCUGUACUGACGCUCAUGCACGAAAGCGUGGGGAGCAAACAGGAUUAGAUACCCCAGUAGUCCCUGUCUCUUAUAC